AUGGCGAUGGAGGCUCGGAUGAAGGGGACGGUCAAGUGGUUCAACGACACCAAGGGGUUCGGCUUCAUCACCCCCGCCGACGGCAGCGAGGACCUCUUCGUGCACCAGUCCUCCAUCAAGGCCGACGGCUUCCGCUCGCUGGCCGAGGGCGAGGUGGUCGAGUUCGCCGUCUCGGAGGGCGACGACGGCCGCACCAAGGCCGUCGACGUCACCGGCCCCGACGGAUCCUUCGUGCAGGGCGGCGCGGGCGGCGGCGGAGGAGGUGGAGGCUUCGGAUCCCGCGGCGGCGGCGGAUCUCGCGGCGGCGGGGGCUUCGGCGCCCGCGGCGGGGACGGAUCUGGCGGGUAUGGUGGUGGGUACGGCGGUGGUGGUGGUGGAGGCUGGGGCGGGCAGAGGAGAUCCGGCGGUGGGGGCGCCGGUGGGGCCUGCUUCAAGUGCGGGGAGCCUGGCCACAUGGCCAGGGACUGCUCGGUCAACGGCCCCGCCGGUGGCGGCGGCGGCGGCGGCUGCUACAAGUGCGGGGAGCAAGGCCACAUCUCCCGCGACUGCACCAAGUGA
rnacentral:rRNA from 1 species